rnacentral:rRNA from 1 species
UACGUAGGGUGCAAGCGUUAAUCGGAAUUACUGGGCGUAAAGCGUGCGCAGGCGGUGAUGUAAGACAGGUGUGAAAUGCCCGGGCUCACCCCGGGACCUGCAUCCCAAACUGCUGAGCUUGAGUACAGGAGAGGGUGGGGGAAUUCCAGGUGUAGCGGUGAAAUGCGUAGAUAUGCGGAGGAACACCGAUGGCGAAGGCAAUCCCCUGGACCUGUACUGACGCUCAUGCACGAAAGCGUGGGGAGCAAACAGG